UCUUUGUUGGAUAAGUCGACGCCCUCUGAGAAAGUCAGAACACGACUGGAAAGAUAAAAAGAAAGUUGUAACACUUGUAUAAGAAACCAAGGACAGGUAACAGCUCCUCACCUGUUCAAGCUGCAUAGAAGAGUGCUCUUUGCUGAAGCUGAUGUGAUUAAGAAGAUAUCCUGGAGGUUGGGGAUGAAUGGAAGGCUGGAAGGAAGCCUGGGAGUUUCAGAAGGUCUGCGUGGCCAGCGAGGAGCUUCUCAGUGAACUAGCACACAAGAAGAGACUGGAGAAGAGGCAGAAACAAGGGCAGGCAGCAAAACAGAAGUUAAAAAGCAGUGUUAGACACUUGGUGUCAAAAUCAGAAAGGCCAAAACCCAGCUGGAGCUGAGACUGCUGAGGAGCACAGAUGGGAACAAG
rnacentral:lncRNA from 1 species